GAUGAAGAACGUAGCGAAAUGCGAUAAGUAAUGUGAAUUGCAGAAUUCAGUGAAUCAUCGAAUCUUUGAACGCACAUUGCGCCCACUAGUAUUCUGGUGGGCAUGCCUGUUCGAGCGUCAUUUCAACCCUCAAGCCUCGGUUGCUUGGUGUUGGGAGCUUAUCUUUGCCGAAAGGCGGACAACUCCUUAAAACUAUUGGCGGAGUCGCGGUGACCCCAAGCGUAGUAAAUUUUUUUUCUCGCUUUAGGUAUCAACGCUGGCUUUCUAGCCGUUAAACCCUCUAAAUCUUUAGUGGUUGACCUCGGAUCAGGUAGGACUACCCGCUGAACUUAAGCAUAUCAAUAAGCGGAGGA
rnacentral:misc_RNA from 1 species